ensembl:lncRNA
UCAGCAAAAGGUUUUCAUUUAUUACAUAUUCACUCAUUUAAAAUUAGUAACUGUUGAAACACCCCUCCAGACAUCGCUACUUUCCUUUGGAAAACUUAAAUUAAAUAAACUUAAAACAGGUUUCAUUUCUUCAUCUCAGAUCACCUUUCCCUGAUGUGUCUUCAUCAUUUCAUUCCAAAUUAAAAGUUUCCUCAUUUCAAAAGUCUUAAACUUCCAAACUUUUUCUAAACUUUCUUUUGCCAUCACACCACAUACUGUUAGUUCAUAAAGUACAUUGUUUCAAAGCCCCACUCUGUUUGAGGGUCUUUGUGCAAAGCUUUGAAUCAGAGAUGCAUCACAAUAUCUGCCCUUACUAGAGAACUGCAAAAAUUGUAUUUACACUUCAACGUUUGCUCUCUUGCACAACAGAGAAACAUUUAAUGUACAAACAAUGCACAUAAAAAGGUCUGACUUGCAAAGUGCUGCAAAGACCGCAAAACAAGGCAACGCAAUGAUUUGUAUGAAAAAACUACAACCUCACAAGUGGAUGUUUCCUGGUGUCCUAGCAUGAAUACAGUAAAGUUAAUUCAAAAGGAAAGGAUGGACUGGCCAGCAGAUCCAGAUUCUGAACAAUUAUAAAUACAAUUUAAGUUACAAACAGUAAGUUGGUGCUAAAAUACUAAAUUACUAACAGUGACAGGCAUGCCCGCAGAAAUACAUGUCAAACAGAGCAAAAACUGAAUUGAACAUUCCACUCUGUAUGAAGGACAAAUGCAUGAUGAGCAAUCUCCAGAAUGUCUAUAGUACAUGGUAUAGUUUUAACACACACGUCAUGCCUUCAUAUUAUUAUGUUAAUGAAUUCAGCAAGGUUGACUUACUUAUUAUAUUUCCGGGUGCAUAAUAAAACAUAAAUGCUGACCUUUCUGCAUUUUAAAGCUGUAUACAAUCAAACACUGAAGAUGUACUGAUACAAUUCAAGCUAAUUUAGAUGUAAGGCUAAAUUGUGUCAUCAUUAAAGUUGUGUUGUAAAAUUACAAUCACAAAAAACAACAUAAUCUGUCAAAUCAAAGAUUAGUUUAGGAGGUGAUUGGAAGCAGAGCAAAGGCCUAAAAAUGGAUUAUUUUUCAAUUAUUUACAGUGUGGUGUUAUAAAAAACAUUUAAAAACAUCAUAUACAAGUUAGAAAAGGUCAAACUGCAGGAAAAUUAGCCACAUUACAAAAGGGCCUUGAUUCAUAGCCUCCAGCCAAUGACUAAAGUAGCACAUCAAGACCAAAAGCCAAGGCCCUGCAGCGUCCACUCAGAGUUCAGUCCUGUUGGGAACCAAGAAACAAAACAGUUUGUACAAAGCGCUUCCAUCUACUUAUUACUUAUUUGCAUUAAAUUUCCAUGAGUUUCCACAUGUAAAAUGUUUAAAUUGUACACAACAGGACGGUAGAUCACAUUUUCCCAUGCAGUUAUUACCCCCACUAGGAAAUAUAUAUUUAUAUACAGGAAUAUAUAUAUAUAUAUAUUUAUAUGAGCUAAAAGGAACUUCACAGAACCAUGGUGCACAAUCUUACAAUCUCUCCCAACCCAUUUAUUUUGUGAGUUGACCAGAAUCGAAUGAUCCAUGUUGUCAGAGAUGCUUAUGAAGUAUCUCACUUUAAUUCAUUGUUAGAUGUGAGGAGCCCUCAAUAGUAGUAUUUUGUCCUGUAAAGGGUCUUCAUGUGCAGGCUUGAUGUACUCCUUCUCAAAAGAAUUGCCCAACAAACUGUCAACUGAAUAAGAAGAAAUGGGAACAAAAAGUCAAGGGAAACAAACAGAGAGAUCCUCCUCUGCCAUUCUCCCUAAGGUUUCUUCAUAUUUUUCCUCUCUAUUAAAGGUUUUUGGGGGGCAGUUUUUCCUGUGCUAAUAAGAGAGUUGUAGAACAGAGGAUGUCGCACUGGUACAGACUGUAAAGCCCUCUGAGGAUAUUUUGUCAUUUUGGGGUAAUAAAAAUACAUUUUAUUUAAUUUGAUUGAAGGUGAUAAAUAAUUUAAAUAGGAAAAUUCAAUUACAUAACGCAGUGGAGUUGAUUUUAUUUCUGUCCUCUUCAUUUUGGUCCAAAUUAUUGAGGGCACUUAUGUACAACUACAAACUAAUAACUGCCAACAUUGUUGUUUGUAUAUAUAUUUAGUUAUUUAGCUUUGCACAACAUCAGUUAGAGCGCAGGUGGUACCUUGGUUAGUAGCUCCUGUCAUCAGUGUAAGAGUUGAUUUAGCUGAUUCAGCUGAUUGCACUUUUGUCCCUUUCCACACACAAAGCCACCGCAGCAUCAGUUGUUACCUGCAUGUGGCUUUUUCAGAUGAGAAGGGGAACACCAAAUGUUCUGCUGCUAUGUUGCAUGUUGUGUUUAUGUAAUUGCGGAUCAGAGGCCAUGUGAACCUGGCUUCUCACUCUCCCUGUCUUUAAAUGACUGGUCCUAUAAAAAGCCGCCUGACUGUGACCUGCCGUGCAGUGUGUUGAUGUCUAGCAGCAGCUGAAGCAGAGCUAGUUUACGCAUAACGAAUGCCUGUCGCCGAACCUUUAACUCCUGCUCACACUAUGGCUAACAUACAAAUUCAAACACCUCGCCCAUGAAAUAAUCUUAUAUCAACAUGAUCCUCCGUUUUGCCGCUGCAGUAUCAGAAUUCAGCUUGUGAAGGUGAAUGCCUGCUGAGGUUCUCAGGUGCUCAUGCAAGUCCGUUUGCAUGGAGUCACACACUCUUUAGUUGGGCUUUCUUUUCUCACUAUAUUCAAACUAUUGGCAGUGCGGAAAACUGGUGUUGUCAAAUAAAAAUUGAGUUGGGAUGAAGAACAUUUAAAUAAAUAUAUGAAUUUGUAU